CUACGUGCCAGCAGCCGCGGUAAUACGUAUGUCGCAAGCGUUAUCCGGAAUUAUUGGGCAUAAAGGGCAUCUAGGCGGCCAGAUAAGUCUGGGGUGAAAACUUGCGGCUCAACCGCAAGCCUGCCCUGGAAACUAUGUGGCUAGAGUACUGGAGAGGUGGACGGAACUGCACGAGUAGAGGUGAAAUUCGUAGAUAUGUGCAGGAAUGCCGAUGAUGAAGAUAGUUCACUGGACGGUAACUGACGCUGAAGUGCGAAAGCUAGGGGAGCAAACAGGAUCAGAUACCCUGGUAGUCCUAGCUGUAAACGAUGAUUACUGGGUGUGGGCAUGAAGAGUGUCCGUGCCGAAGCUAAUGCGAUAAGUAAUCCGCCUGGGGAGUACGGCCGCAAGGCUGAAACUCAAAGGAAUUGACGGGGACCCGCACAAGCGGUGGAGCAUGUGGUUUAAUUCGACGCAACGCGAGGAACCUUACCAGAUCUUGACAUCC
rnacentral:rRNA from 1 species